ACAGUAAGAGAGCGGUGGAGCUGAGGGCUGGAGGCUUCCAAUUUUAUCUUCUUCUGGGGAAGAGGAAAGAAAAAUAAAAUAGGUUGGGGAGGGGAAAGGAUGAAGAGGGAAAGAGGGGAGGGAAGGGGAGUUCCCGGAUGACCACGGGGCCCGGAGACUGGGGAGUCCCCGUGGGCGGCACGUCCCCGCCCAGCCCAUGGGUCACCUGCAUCCCUUACACAGGUUUUCAGGUUGUAAGGUGGAUAUUUGGUAAUACCCAAGGCAUAAAUGGAACCACUGAUAACCGCCUUAGCUCAGAAGAAUGUUUCAGUUUUGGAGAAUAGGACCCAAGAAUUCAGCUUUCAUGCCAAAAUUGGCCAUCUUCAAGUGGAUGUGGGCUCUGGUCUCUCUCAAAAUUUGGGCUCCUCUCCAACUUAUGUCUCAUAGCCCCGUCCUUUCCCAAAAGACCUUUCCUCUGUCUGCUCCUCUAGGCCUCUGUCCAGAAGUCUCUUAAGAACAGCGUCUCAAAUUGAGGGGAAAUCCAAAAGGCCUCUCAAAGGAGACAGGCCCUAUUUGUGGAGAGGAAAAGGUUAAAUAAAUGCUCAUCAUCAAAAAGCA